rnacentral:ncRNA from 2 species
UAUAGUGCCCCUAUCCUUGGUUGAAUACCAAAUAUGGUAUUCGGGAAUCCGGUUAGAAUCCGGAACUGACGCGCAGCGGUAUUGGGGAACGAGCGUGGCACAAAGACACUGGCGCAAGCCGGGAAGUCGCCACGCAAGGCAGAACCGAGAGGUUCAUGCCCCUGAGUCCGAAGACACUGCCAGGGAUAACUGCACCUU